rfam:Plesiomonas shigelloides 302-73 genomic scaffold scaffold00012, whole genome shotgun sequence.
AGUUUUUCGCGUAGGGUACAGAGGUAAGAUGUUCUAUCUUUCAGACCUUUUACUUCACGUAAUCGGAUUUGGCUGAAUUUUUAGCCGCCCCGCUCAUUAGAGCGGGGCGUUCUUUU